rnacentral:rRNA from 1 species
CCUACGGGCGGCUGCAGUGGGGAAUAUUGCACAAUGGGGGCAACCCUGAUGCAGCGACGCCGCGUGAGCGAUGAAGUAUUUCGGUUUGUAAAGCUCUAUUAGCAGGGAAGAAAAUGACGGUACCUGACUAAGAAUCCCCGGCUAAUUACUUGCCAGCAGCCGCGGUAAUACGUCGGGGGCAAGCGUUAUCCGGAUUUACUGGGUGUAAAGGGUGCGUAGACGGUCCUGCAAGCCAGAUGUGAAAGCCCGGGGCUCAACCCCGGGACUGCAUUUGAAACUGUAAGGCUAGAGUGUCGGAGAGGCAGGCGGAAUUCCGGGUGUAGCGGUGAAAUGCGUAGAUAUUAGGAGGAACACCAGUGGCGAAGGCGGACUGCUGGACGAUGACUGACGUUGAGGCUCGAAAGCGUGGGGAGCAAACAGGAUUAGAUACCCCUGUAGUC